GGUGAAGAACGCAGCGAAAUGCGAUAAGUAAUGUGAAUUGCAGAAUUCAGUGAAUCAUCGAAUCUUUGAACGCACAUUGCGCCCCCUGGUAUUCCGGGGGGCAUGCCUGUCCGAGCGUCAUUACAACCCUCAAGCUCAGCUUGGUAUUGGGCCCCGCCGACCCGGCGGGCCCUAAAGUCAGUGGCGGUGCCGUCCGGCUCCGAGCGUAGUAAUUCUUCUCGCUCUGGAGGUCCGGUCGUGUGCUCGCCAGCAACCCCCAAUUUUUUUCAGGUUGACCUCGGAUCAGGUAGGGAUACCCGCUGAACUUAAGCAUAUCAAUAAGCGGAGGA
rnacentral:misc_RNA from 1 species